GCCCUCAUAGCUCAGUAGGUAGAGCGCGUUCUUGGUAAGAACGAGGUCAUGGGUUCAAAUCCCAUUGAGGGCU
rnacentral:tRNA from 1 species